rnacentral:tRNA from 1 species
GCGAGUGUAAUUCAACGGUAGAAUGUCAGCUUCCCAAGCUGAAAGUCGCGGGUUCGAUUCCCGUCGCCCGCUCCA